UGGGGAAUAUUGGACAAUGGGCGCAAGCCUGAUCCAGCCAUGCCGCGUGAGUGAUGAAGGCCCUAGGGUUGUAAAGCUCUUUCACCGGUGAAGAUAAUGACGGUAACCGGAGAAGAAGCCCCGGCUAACUUCGUGCCAGCAGCCGCGGUAAUACGAAGGGGGCUAGCGUUGUUCGGAUUUACUGGGCGUAAAGCGCACGUAGGCGGACUUUUAAGUCAGGGGUGAAAUCCCGGGGCUCAACCCCGGAACUGCCCUUGAUACUGGAAGUCUUGAGUAUGGUAGAGGUGGGUGGAAUUCCGAGUGUAGAGGUGAAAUUCGUAGAUAUUCGGAGGAACACCAGUGGCGAAGGCGGCUCACUGGACCAUUACUGACGCUGAGGUGCGAAAGCGUGGGGAGCAAACAGG
rnacentral:rRNA from 1 species